rnacentral:rRNA from 1 species
AAUGGCGAACGGGUGAGUAAUACAUCGGAACGUACCUUAUCGUGGGGGAUAACGCAGCGAAAGCUGUGCUAAUACCGCAUACGCCCUGAGGGGGAAAGCGGGGGAUCGAAAGACCUCGCGCGAUUAGAGCGGCCGAUGCCUGAUUAGCUUGUUGGUGGGGUAAAAGCCCACCAAGGCGACGAUCAGUAGCUGGUCUGAGAGGACGAUCAGCCACACUGGGACUGAGACACGGCCCAGACUCCUACGGGAGGCAGCAGUGGGGAAUUUUGGACAAUGGGGGAAACCCUGAUCCAGCAAUGCCGCGUGAGUGAAGAAGGCCUUCGGGUUGUAAAGCUCUUUUGUCAGGGAAGAAACACCGGCUCUAACACAGUCCGGGAAUGACGGUACCUGAAGAAUAAGCACCGGCUAACUACGUGCCAGCAGCCGCGGUAAUACGUAGGGUGCGAGCGUUAAUCGGAAUUACUGGGCGUAAAGCGUGCGCAGGCGGUUAUACAAGACAGGCGUGAAAUCCCCGGGCUUAACCUGGGAAUGGCGCUUGUGACUGUAUAGCUAGAGUGUGUCAGAGGGGGGUAGAAUUCCACGUGUAGCAGUGAAAUGCGUAGAUAUGUGGAGGAAUACCAAUGGCGAAGGCAGCCCCCUGGGAUAACACUGACGCUCAUGCACGAAAGCGUGGGGUGCAAACAGGAUUAGAUACCCUGGU